AGCUCAGUGGUUUAGUGGUAAAGCGCUCGUCGCGUAGCCAGAGUGUCUUGGGUUCGAUCCUCAACGGGGUCG
rnacentral:tRNA from 1 species